UGCACCAAGCACACAACACACAC
rnacentral:misc_RNA from 1 species